CUUUUCUCUUGUUUUUCUUUUCAUAGUAUGACAGAUAAAUGUGUUAGAUUUAAAAUCUAUUUAUA
rnacentral:tRNA from 1 species